rnacentral:tRNA from 1 species
CAAAGUGUAGCUUAACCAAAGCCUCUCGCUUACACC